rnacentral:rRNA from 1 species
AUUGAACGCUGGCGGCAUGCCUUACACAUGCAAGUCGAACGGUAACACGGGGCAACCUGGCGACGAGUGGCGAACGGGUGAGUAAUGCAUCGGAACGUGCCCAGUAGUGGGGGAUAGCCCGGCGAAAGCCGGAUUAAUACCGCAUACGACCUACGGGUGAAAGCGGGGGACCGUAAGGCCUCGCGCUAUUGGAGCGGCCGAUGUCAGAUUAGGUUGUUGGUGGGGUAAAAGCCUACCAAGCCGACGAUCUGUAGCUGGUCUGAGCGGACGACCAGCCACACGGGGACUGAGACACGGCCCAGACUCCUACGGGAGGCAGCAGUGGGGAAUUUUGGACAAUGGGGGCAACCCUGAUCCAGCCAGGCCGCGUGCGGGAAGAAGGCCUUCGGGUUGUAAACCGCUUUGGUCAGGGAAGAAACGCUCUGGGCUAAUACCCCGGGGUAAUGACGGUACCUGAAGAAUAAGCACCGGCUAACUACGUGCCAGCCGCCGCCGUAAAAC